rnacentral:rRNA from 1 species
AGUUUGAUCCUGGCUCAGGAUGAACGCUGGCGGCGUGCCUAAUACAUGCAAGUCGAGCGAACUGAUUAGAAGCUUGCUUCUAUGACGUUAGCGGCGGACGGGUGAGUAACACGUGGGCAACCUGCCUGUAAGACUGGGAUAACUUCGGGAAACCGAAGCUAAUACCGGAUAGGAUCUUCUCCUUCAUGGGAGAUGAUUGAAAGAUGGUUUCGGCUAUCACUUACAGAUGGGCCCGCGGUGCAUUAGCUAGUUGGUGAGGUAACGGCUCACCAAGGCAACGAUGCAUAGCCGACCUGAGAGGGUGAUUGGCCACAAUGGGACUGAGACACGGCCCAGACUCCUACGGGAGGCAGCAGUAGGGAAUCUUCCGCAAUGGACGAAAGUCUGACGGAGCAACGCCGCGUGAGUGAUGAAGGCUUUCGGGUCGUAAACUCUGUUGUUAGGGAAGAACAAGUACAAGAGUAACUGCUUGUACCUUGACGGUACUACCA